AACGAACGCUGGCGGCAUGCCUAACACAUGCAAGUCGAACGAGACCUUCGGGUCUAGUGGCGCACGGGUGCGUAACGCGUGGGAACCUGCCCUUAGGUUCGGAAUAACUCCCCGAAAGGGGUGCUAAUACCGGAUAAUGUCUUCGGACCAAAGAUUUAUCGCCUUUGGAUGGGCCCGCGUUGGAUUAGCUAGUUGGUAGGGUAAAAGCCUACCAAGGCGACGAUCCAUAGCUGGUCUGAGAGGAUGAUCAGCCACGCUGGGACUGAGACACGGCCCAGACCCCUCCGGGGGGCGGGAGUGGGGAAUAUUGGAAAAGGGGGGAAAGCCUAACCCAGCAAUGCCGGGUGAGUGAUGAAGGCCUUAGGGUUGUAAAGCUCUUUUACCCGGGAUGAAAAGGACAGGACCGGGAAAAAAAGCCCCGGCUAACUCCGU
rnacentral:rRNA from 1 species